ACAGCUAUCGCCUCCUUCUCCUCCCUACAUCAGCAUCUUCUCUAACAUUGCAACUCCAUCGAUUACCGCUCUCUUCUCAAGUGCUCAUCUCUGCACCAAACGCCUUGCCCUCGACGCCCACUGCACCCUCCCCCCCUUUUUUUUGCUUUAGACCUUGGCACCUCUACCUCGUCGACCGCCAAUCCCUCCUCCAUUAACGUUGUUCGCAAAUUCACAGCAUUCAACACAACUCUCCCACAUCUCUACUAAUAUGUUGUUGUUGGUUUUCUCCGAGCAACCUCCUCUCGACGAAGCACUCGCCCCCUUCGUCCUUCGGUGGCUCCUCUUUACCAUCGUCAGUCCGUUCUUCCUCACUAACGAAGCACUCUCUAUCUCGAAGUACUCUCUGUUGACGAAGCAGUUCCUCCUCACCGAUAAACGUCCCCCCUUCCUUGUUGGCCGACAAUCCGAGACCUAGUUCUGCUGUUGCGAGUUUUCCUUCGGCGAGCGAUGGUGACCUUGGUUUCCCCCCAUCCAAGGAGUAUCUUGCCUCUACUACGUCCAUAAGCUUUCGUCCAGAGGCAUAGAUCACCACCAGGUUCAUCUGGCUGAGACUGGUCCAUUGGAUGGAAACAAAGGGCAGACCAUAUUUACUUCGUGCAACAAAUGAAGAUAAUGGAGACAAUAUGUCAUAUAUGAUCAAUCAGUAUCACUACUGACCAGCUUUCACCUAUUUGUGGUUACUUUUAGGAGACUGCAACUGUUCACAGAGAGCAUCAUUUAGUUAUGUUCCACUUGCACUUUCGGCCAUGUACCUGCAAAACAUUCAGUGAAAAAUCCCAUUCAACUAGAGCUUGGAAAUACAAUCCUUUCAGAAAAUUCAUAGCA